rnacentral:rRNA from 1 species
GUCUAUGGCCAUGCCACCCUGAACAAACCCGAUGUCUGAUCUUGGAAGCUAAGCAGCGUCGGGCCUGGUUAGUAAUUGGAUGAGAGGCAACCUAGGAAGACCAGGUACUGUAGGCA